AGCUAGUGUGGUACAGUGGUCAGAGCAUGGAGCUCGGACCUGGGAGACCAGGGUUCAAAUCCCUGCUCAGUCA